GAUGAACGCUGGCGGCGUGCCUAAUACAUGCAAGUCGAGCGAACAGACGAGGAGCUUGCUCGUCUGACGUUAGCGGCGGACGGGUGAGUAACACGUGUAUAACCUACCUAUCAGACUGGGAUAAUUUCGGGAAACCGGAUCUAAUACCGUAUGAUAUAUUGCACCGCAUUGUUCAUUAGUGAAAUUCGGUUUUUGGGUCUGUAAUAGCUGAAUCCGGGCGCGAUUAGCUGGUUGUUAAGGUAACGGCUUACCAAGGCGAGGAUGCGUAGCCGACAGGAGAGAGUGAUAGGCCACACGGGAAGGGAGACAGGGUCAAGACUCCUGCGGGAGGCCGCAGUCGGGAAUCUUACGCAAUGGGCGAAAGGCUGACGGAGCAACGCGGAGUGAGGGAUGAAGGUCCUCGGAUCGGAAAAAUCUGUUAUUAGGGAAGAACAAAUGUGUAAGUAACCAUGCAGGUAUUGACGGUACCGGAUAAGAAAGCCCCGGCUAACUACGUG
rnacentral:rRNA from 1 species